AUACGUAGGGUGCGAGCGUUAAUCGGAAUUACUGGGCGUAAAGCGUGCGCAGGCGGUUUCGUAAGACAGACGUGAAAUCCCCGGGCUCAACCUGGGAACUGCGUUUGUGACUGCGAGGCUAGAGUACGGCAGAGGGGGGUAGAAUUCCACGUGUAGCAGUGAAAUGCGUAGAGAUGUGGAGGAAUACCGAUGGCGAAGGCAGCCCCCUGGGUUAGUACUGACGCUCAUGCACGAAAGCGUGGGGAGCAAACAGGAUUAGAUACCCUGGUAGUCCACGCCCUAAACGAUGUCAACUAGGUGUUGGAAGGGUUAAACCUUUUAGUACCGCAGCUAACGCGUGAAGUUGACCGCCUGGGGAGUACGGCCGCAAGGUUAA
rnacentral:rRNA from 1 species